ensembl:lncRNA
CAGACUCCUAAAACUGCCCCAAACAUCUGAAAGAGCUUUCUCAUGCUGGUCAGAGGGCGUGGGUUUCUGGCAACCCGUGUUGCUGCGCCUCUCAUCGCCCAUCACCCUGCACAUCCUUGGCCUCAGCCACCACCACAGACAGAGGAGGUGUGCCUGAGCUCCGACAGCUCAUCUUAACCGUGGCCUGCAGCCACUCAUCCCCGCAGGCACUAUGAACAGCUCAGACAAACUGUGUCCCCAGGAGCACCUCUGUCCUUAAUUUAUUCUGCUGCCCGGUCAGAAGCAGCACAGGGGACGGAUGAUUCCUGCGUUUAGCAGAAGAUGUGCUGCCCAGCAUGGCACACAUGCCAACGAAGGACAGAAAUGCCUCCUGGCCUCUGGUUGCUGGCCGAUGUCCAAGCAGCAUGGUGGCAGAUGGCAACGACCCAGGGCAGAGCGGAGGCAAAGAGCACACAGUUAGCUGGGAACUGGGAUUUGAACUGCUUUGUAUUAAACCGUACUGGUAAACAUUCUUUUAAGUGCUGUUUAAGGACACCGUGACCUCAGUUAUCUUCAUGAACCUUUUCGUUAAUGAAAAUGAGAGCGGAGGAAUUCUCAAUAAGAAGUAAUUAACUGUUCUACAGCGCACUUGUGCUUAUCAAGAGAAACAUCUGCUGAAGGCUAACCUUGGCCACAGCAUCUCCUCUGGCAGUCUGAAGGAGCCCGGCAAGUCUUCAAAGAGGGUGACCGGGGACUCGGGAUACCGCCUGGGGAGGAGGUGCUGUUAACCCUCUCAGAGCCAGCACCUGUCUGGAGGAGCAAAGCUUGGUGUUAAGACGCAGGGCGAGGAGCGAAGGGGAAGAGCGCACGCCAAGGUCACAUCUGCAGCAGCAGCGACGGCAGCUGCACAGCAGCGAUAUUAAACCUCCCUCUGGUGUAGGAUACACACACAGACACUUCUUAAGAGCAACAACGAUCCACAUGAAUUGGAGCAGUCCCCAGAGGAGAGCUGCGUGGCUGGCGUGGCAGGGGGUGACUGAAGGGCACA